rnacentral:rRNA from 1 species
CGGGUGAAAAACCCGUUCGCCGAAAGACCAAGGGUUCCAGUCCAACGUUAAUCGGGGCUGGGUGAGUCGACCCCUAAGGCGAGGCCGAAAGGCGUAGUCGAUGGGAAAAUGGUUAAUAUUCCAUUACUUCUGUGUAAUGCGAUGAGAGGACGGAGAAGGCUAAAUCAGCCUGGCGUUGGUUGUCCAGGUGAAAGGAUGUAGGCAUGUAUCUUAGGCAAAUCCGGGGUACUCUAUGCUGAGAUCUGAUAGCAAGCUGUACUUGUACAGCGAAGUGGUUGAUGCCAUGCUUCCAGGAAAAGUCUCUAAGCUUCAGUUACACAGGAAUCGUACCCGAAACCGACACAGGUGGUCAGGUCGAGUAGACCAAGGCGCUUGAGAGAACUCUGCUGAAGGAACUAGGCAAAAUGGUACCGUAACUUCGGGAGAAGGUACGCUGUUGUUGGUGAUGGAACUCGCUUCCUGAGCUGACGACAGCCGCAGAAACCAGGCCGCUGCAACUGUUUAUUAAAAACAUAGCACUCUGCAAACACGAAAGUGGACGUAUAGGGUGUGAUGCCUGCCCGGUGCUGGAAGGUUAAUUGAUGGGGUUAGCGUAAGCGAAGCUCUUGAUCGAAGCCCCAGUAAACGGCGGCCGUAACUAUAACGGUCCUAAGGUAGCGAAAUUCCUUGUCGGGUAAGUUCCGACCUGCACGAAUGGCAUAAUGAUGGCGGCGCUGUCUCCAGCAGAGGCUCAGUGAAAUCGAAAUCGCUGUGAAGAUGCAGUGUACCCGCGGCUAGACGGAAAGACCCCGUGAACCUUUACUGCAGCUUGACACUGAACUUUGACCUUACUUGUGUAGGAUAGGUGGGAGGCUUUGAAGCUGGAACGCUAGUUCCAGUGGAGCCGUCCUUGAAAUACCACCCUGGUAAUGUUGAGGUUCUAACUCUGUCCCGUGAUCCGGGACGAGGACCGUGUCUGGUGGGUAGUUUGACUGGGGCGGUCUCCUCCUAAAGAGUAACGGAGGAGUACGAAGGUGCGCUCAGCGUGGUCGGAAAUCACGCGUAGAGUAUAAAGGCAAAAGCGCGCUUAACUGCGAGACCCACAAGUCGAGCAGGUACGAAAGUAGGUCUUAGUGAUCCGGUGGUUCUGUAUGGAAGGGCCAUCGCUCAACGGAUAAAAGGUACUCUGGGGAUAACAGGCUGAUACCGCCCAAGAGUUCAUAUCGACGGCGGUGUUUGGCACCUCGAUGUCGGCUCAUCUCAUCCUGGGGCUGAAGCAGGUCCCAAGGGUAUGGCUGUUCGCCAUUUAAAGAGGUACGCGAGCUGGGUUUAGAACGUCGUGAGACAGUUCGGUCCCUAUCUACCGUGGGCGCUGGAAAUUUGAGAGGAUCUGCUCCUAGUACGAGAGGACCAGAGUGGACGAACCUCUGGUGUACCGGUUGUGACGCCAGUCGCAUCGCCGGGUAGCUAUGUUCGGAAGGGAUAACCGCUGAAAGCAUCUAAGCGGGAAGCCUACCUCAAGAUAAGAUUUCCCUAGGACUUUAUGUCCUCUAAAGAGCCGUUCGAGACUAGGACGUUGAUAGGUUGGAUGUGAAGCAUAGUGAUAUGUGAAGCUGACCAAUACUAAUUGCUCGUGAGGCUUGACUAU